rnacentral:rRNA from 1 species
UGCCAGACUCCUACGGGAGGCAGCAGUGGGGAAUAUUGCACAAUGGGGGAAACCCUGAUGCAGCGACGCCGCGUGAGCGAUGAAGUAUUUCGGUAUGUAAAGCUCUAUCAGCAGGGAAGAAAAUGACGGUACCUGACUAAGAAGCCCCGGCUAACUACGUGCCAGCAGCCGCGGUAAUACGUAGGGGGCAAGCGUUAUCCGGAUUUACUGGGUGUAAAGGGAGCGUAGACGGUCCUGCAAGCCAGAUGUGAAAUCGCGGGGCUCAACCCCGGGGCUGCAUUUGGAACUGUAAGGCUAGAGUGUCGGAGAGGCGGGCGGAAUUCCUAGUGUAGCGGUGAAAUGCGUAGAUAUUAGGAGGAACACCAGUGGCGAAGGCGGCCUGCUGGACGAUGACUGACGUUGAGGCUCGAAAGCGUGGGGAGCAAACAGGAUUAGAUACCCCCGUAAU